AGGGAUGGUUCUUUACUUCUUCUACAGGGAGGGAAGGGUCUGGGAUGGGAGGAGGAAAACCUUACCUAAUUGUGUUUGGAAUUAAAAGGCAACAAGGGGAAGAUAAUGGACAGUUUUUAUUUUGUUUGAAUGGGUGGGAGGGAAAGAAAAUUCUAAAAAGCCUCAAAAAUUGUUAUCAUUUAAUUUAGUUUUAGAUUGUCUAUGAGAAGAUAAAG
rnacentral:misc_RNA from 1 species